UGGGGAAUUUUGGACAAUGGGGGAAACCCUGAUCCAGCCAUCCCCGCGUGUGCGAUGAAGGCCUUCGGGUUGUAAAGCACUUUUGGCAGGAAAGAACGUCGCGGGUUAAUACCCCGCGAAACUGACGGUACCUGCAGAAUAAGCACCGGCUAACUACGUGCCAGCAGCCGCGGUAAUACGUAGGGUGCAAGCGUUAAUCGGAAUUACUGGGCGUAAAGCGUGCGCAGGCGGUUCGGAAAGAAAGAUGUGAAAUCCCAGAGCUUAACUUUGGAACUGCAUUUUUAACUACCGGGCUAGAGUGUGUCAGAGGGAGGGUGGAAUUCCGCGUGUAGCAGUGAAAUGCGUAGAUAUGCGGAGGAACACCGAUGGCGAAGGCAGCCUCCUGGGAUAACACUGACGCUCAUGCACGAAAGCGU
rnacentral:rRNA from 1 species